rnacentral:rRNA from 1 species
ACAGCAGUCGCCACGGUAAUACGAAGGGUGCAAGCGUUAAUCGGAAUUACUGGGCGUAAAGCGUGCGUAGGCGGUUUGUUAAGUCUGUUGUGAAAUCCCCGGGCUCAACCUGGGAAUGGCAAUGGAUACUGGCAAGCUAGAGUGUGUCAGAGGAUGGUGGAAUUCCCGGUGUAGCGGUGAAAUGCGUAGAGAUCGGGAGGAACAUCAGUGGCGAAGGCGGCCAUCUGGGACAACACUGACGCUGAGGCACGAAAGCGUGGGGAGCAAACAGGAUUAGAGACCCGAGUAGUCCCUGUCUCUUAUAC